CAGUCGCCACGGGAAUACAGAGGGUGCGAGCGUUAAUCGGAUUUACUGGGCGUAAAGCGUGCGUAGGCGGCUUUUUAAGUCGGAUGUGAAAUCCCUGAGCUUAACUUAGGAAUUGCAUUCGAUACUGGGAAGCUAGAGUAUGGGAGAGGAUGGUAGAAUUCCAGGUGUAGCGGUGAAAUGCGUAGAGAUCUGGAGGAAUACCGAUGGCGAAGGCAGCCAUCUGGCCUAAUACUGACGCUGAGGUACGAAAGCAUGGGGAGCAAACAGGAUUAGAUACCCCGGUAGUCCCUGUCUCUUAUAU
rnacentral:rRNA from 1 species